AGGAAUUACACGAUCCAACCUCGAGAUCUAUUUCAGUUCUCUGUCUUCUCCAUCGACUAAUCUCUGAUCUCUCUCUCAAUCAUCCUCCAAAACUCCCCGAUCCUUUGUUCCUUAUUUUGCCUUCUUCAACGCAAAUGGAGGACGAUGCCUCGGUCCCCAAGCACUUGUGCAUGAAGCUCCAACCAAGAGACUCCCAGCCCAUCUUCAUCAAGGGCACAUGGUUCGCCUCCCGCUUCGACCUCAUCAUCACCGAUGGCCUCAACGUCUGGGUCUGCCGCGCUUCCGAAUACGCCCUCCGAUACCGAGCCACCCAGUGGAACCAGCCAGCGCCCGAGUACGUCUCAUUGGUAUAGCGCUAUUUAAGGUUUCAGCACUCCAAUUCCGUCUACGGGUCCGCUGAUGCUGGUGAUGGCCACAAGAGAGUGAGUUGUCUAAAAAUCAAGUAAGUACACUGGUUCACCGUACGUUGUUGAAUGGAAGCAGGCAAGCAGCAGUGUGGUCUCCAUAAAGGUGAUUACUCUCUAUGGUUGGAUUAGCUUGAGCUCUCAAGGCUGCUGAAAAAGCCAAACCAAUAGGCCUGGUCUUCAUUUCCACCACCCAGUUGAAGGUAGGUUCCAGAGGCCUCUAACAUCAAAUCCCCUAACGCAACCACAACUAGCUUCCAUUUCUGUAUCAGGUCAUUCAUCUUAUUUUGGUGAAAGCUAUGCUCUUUCAUUUUGGGGUUAACUUUUUCAAUUCUGAAGGAGACAUAUUAGAUUCAUAAAGGAAAUCAUUUCCUCCAUAUAUUGAUUCAUGGGAUCUCUGCAUAAAGCUAUCAUUCCUGGGUUGCCUGACAACUUGGCAUUGAGAUGUCUGGCAAAGCUAUCUCAUGGAUAUCAUGGACUGGUUGAGACUGUUUCAAAGACAUGGCGAGAUUUUUUCCGUAGUUCAGACUAUGCCAACUAUAAAGCCAGGGAGGGAUUGUGUGACAACUGGUUGUUUGUUCUGACUGAUGGCUCCAGUGGGUUGCUUAUGAUCCUGAGGCUGAUAGGUGGCAUCCUCUGCCAAAAAUUCCUUCUGUCCUUGGUGAGGGGAGACACUAUGGAUUUUCAUGUAUUAGUGUUUGCAAUCAAUUCCUUCUGUCCUUGGUAUCUCGUUGUCUAUAUAAUUAAGAGUUCCUCCUAAGAGCUUUGGAGUAAUUGAAAUCCUGAUCUUUAUAGUGCUAGAUAAUUGGUUCACAGUUUUGGCCUAAUGGCCGCCAAAUGAUUCCCAAGCUAGUCCACCGAUGGUUGUCGCCUUGCGUUCUUGCUUACUGGUAUAUGUAUGGGGGCUACAGGACUGAAUUGGGAGACAUAUUGCUAAAGAUAAAGGGAGGUGAGGAAGGUGUUCAGAAGAUUGUCAAAACCUUGAAGGCAAGCUCUGUGGAGUGCAAGGUGAAGAGGAAGGGGAGAGUGUUUUGGAUAGGUUUCCUGGGAAGUAAUGCUGCACUUUUCUGGAAACUAACGGAACCUUACAUCCUAGAUGACUUGAAACAUCUUCUAAAAUCAGAUGGGGAAAGCUCAGAGAAUAACACAGGUGAAAAUGAAAACAUCAACUUUGCUACUAGGUCUGAUUCGGAUGAGAAUGCCUUUGAUAACAGUGAUAAUGAUAGGAAUUAAACUGUAGUACAUCUAUUACUCAUUAGUUGGUGUUCAAUUCUGCCAGUACAAGGGCUUUCCUUGUCAGCUAUUGGAGUUUUAUACACGAAUUUCAC